ensembl:snoRNA
CCGAUACAGUGAUGAUAACAUAGUUCAGCUGACAACACUGAUGAACCAGCAUUAAGUCUUUCGCUCCUAUCUGAUGUAUCUG